rnacentral:ncRNA from 2 species
AUCAUAGACAGAUGCAAUGAUGCAGUGUGUGUCUUUUGGGCGCCAAAACAUACUGCGGAGCAAGUGGCGCAACCGACUGUCCAAGUU